rnacentral:rRNA from 1 species
CCCUUAGAUGUUCUGGGCCGCACGCGUGCUACACUGAGUGGAUCAGCGGGUCAGGUUGCGCGAAAGUGUUUCCUAAUCUUUAAAUCCGCUCGUGAUGGGGAUUGACGGUUGCAAUUUUCCGUCAUGAACGAGGAAUACCUUGUAAGCGCGGGUCAUCAUCCCGCGCUGAAUACGUCCCUGCCCUUUGUACACACCGCCCGUCGCACCUACCGAUUGGAUGGUCCGGUGAAGCCUCGGGAUUGUGGCGGUUGCCUUUAUUGGUGGCCGCCGCGAGAACUUGUCUAAACCUUAUCAUCUAGAGGAAGGUGAAGUCGUAACA